rnacentral:lncRNA from 1 species
UUGGAAUAAUGCUUUUUUUCUCUUUAAACCUUUUGCCCUAUAGAUGAUUCAUUUCUCCUGGGCUAAAAUUGGACUCAUCCUGAGCAUCUUUGGCAUGGAAGACAUUCCAGCAUUUGGAGGGUCUCCGCACAGAUCGGUUGCAUCGGACGCUCUGGGGUUCCAGCCAGUUGAUGGUUUGCUUUGCCUUGAAACUCAUUAACUUCUGUCACUUGGCCUGAAGCUGAUGACCUCUGCCCAGCAACUUGACCGUGUUACCCAUGUUUGCUAUAUGAGAACCAGAGGUGCCCACCAGCUCCACUACUUCCAUCCCUGCUUCUAGAAUGGACCAGAGGAGGCUGCAGUCGAAUGGAAAUAAAGGCUGUGUCUUCCAGGCUGCAUCUCACGAAUUCUCCCAACGUCCCGGGAAAGCAGAAUGUGAAUGGGAAAUUGAUUUGUCAUAUGUGUCUGGCAAAGUCCAGUAUUUCCUAGCAGGAAAAUGUAAAUUCCCCUGAAAAACAACAACAGACCAACCAUACCGCAAAGGUA